UGGGGAAUUUUGGACAAUGGGGGCAACCCUGAUCCAGCAAUGCCGCGUGUGUGAAGAAGGCCUUCGGGUUGUAAAGCACUUUUGUCCGGAAAGAAAACUUCGGGGCUAAUACCCCUGGAGGAUGACGGUACCGGAAGAAUAAGCACCGGCUAACUACGUGCCAGCAGCCGCGGUAAUACGUAGGGUGCGAGCGUUAAUCGGAAUUACUGGGCGUAAUGCGUGCGCAGGCGGUGCUGUAAGACCGAUGUGAAAUCCCCGGGCUUAACCUGGGAACUGCAUUGGUGACUGCAGCGCUGGAGUAUGGCAGAGGGGGGUGGAAUUCCACGUGUAGCAGUGAAAUGCGUAGAGAUGUGGAGGAACACCGAUGGCGAAGGCAGCCCCCUGGGCCAAUACUGACGCUCAUGCACGAAAGCGUGGGGAGCAAACAGG
rnacentral:rRNA from 1 species